GAUGAACGCUGGCGGCGUGCCUAAUACAUGCAAGUCGAGCGAACAGACGAGGAGCUUGCUCCUCUGACGUUAGCGGCGGACGGGUGAGUAACACGUGGAUAACCUACCUAUAAGACUGGGAUAACUUCGGGAAACCGGAGCUAAUACCGGAUAAUAUAUUGAACCGCAUGGUUCAAUAGUGAAAGACGGUUUUGCUGUCACUUAUAGAUGGAUCCGCGCCGCAUUAGCUAGUUGGUAAGGUAACGGCUUACCAAGGCAACGAUGCGUAGCCGACCUGAGAGGGUGAUCGGCCACACUGGAACGGAGACACGGUCCAGACUCCUACGGGAGGCAGCAGUAGGGAAUCUUCCGCAAUGGGCGAAAGCCUGACGGAGCAACGCCGCGUGAGUGAUGAAGGUCUUCGGAUCGUAAAACUCUGUUAUUAGGGAAGAACAAAUGUGUAAGUAACUAUGCACGUCUUGACGGCACCUAAUCAGAAAGCCACGGCUAACUACGUG
rnacentral:rRNA from 1 species